rnacentral:lncRNA from 1 species
GCUCCUUGAACUUCACCCUCAUUCCUUGCUCCCUCUUUAUUGACUCCUUGCUCCCUGCCUCUGGCAUCCAAAGGAUGAGAAGUCCCUGCUUCAAUCUUCAUGACUUGAUCAGAAAGAUCUCUCUGAAGUAUUUCCACCAUGCACUGAUGAUAGGUGAUCUGAACUAGGGAGUGAGUAAGCUGUUUUAACAAAAUAAAUCUCGAGAAACAGAAAUAAGGAUGUCAGGAGUGUUGUCAACAUGAGGAACAACACCUUCAGUACCAAGAUUAUUUUGACCUGAUUCAGUUGAGAGGGAAUUAUCUCCAUUCCAGGGAAGAUCUUAAAAUUUUGAGAAAUCAGAAUGGAGUGGAUGAGAGAGGGAUUUAAAACGAUUGCCAGAAAGAGUCUUACAAACUUCAGUAAAAUCACCAUAAUUAUCCUCAUCAAUCACAGU